AGCAAGGGGCUAAGAGGAGGGGGGUCCGGUGCCGGCCGUUGGAAAACGCCCCGGUGGCAGUGAGGGGUACCAGAGUCCCAGUCCAGUUAGUUGGGAAGCAGUGACAUCCCCCCAGAAUCCCCCAGGUGGGCUGGCCCCCAUCUCAGGCCACAAGGAGCCUCACCUGGACCAGACACAGGAGAGGAAAGGACACGGUCCUGCAGGCGCCGUCCCUACCACCCUGACGGUGAAGGAGCAAGCACCCCAGCAGGGACUUCCUGAGGACCAGAGGAGGGCAGGCCAUGGGGCCUGGAAGUGCAGCUUUUUCAGCACCCUGUGCACGGAGCAGGCAGGGUGGUGUACCAGCUCCAUAAGACAGGUGGACACACUGAGGCCCGGGGAGGCGAAGGAGCUAACUCAGAAUGGCACAGAUAGCCCCUGCAGACGGGUGUUCUGGCGCCAAACCUCAGGACAACGGAGAAAGUGGAGGGAGGCUUGGAGGCGAGCAGAGGAGGCCAGGAGCCGACACUCCGGGGACGGGUGACAGGCCCAGGCCUGGCUUACAUAACGCAGCACACCUGUUCGCCUCCACACGCCUCACACGUGUGUGCAAACGUGCAGCCCAGCACGUCUCACACACCCGGCCCUCUCUCCCGAGCCAGCAAACCCCCGAGACUGCGUCUAAACAAAUUGGAUUAGGAGGGCCACAGGCGCCUCCUCCCUCGACUGUCCUGCUCAGACACUGAGCAGGCCUGCAGAGCUGCCAGCUGCGGCGUCUCGGCCAUGCUGACAGCCAGCCCGCAGCCCCCCUCCACCCAUCCCCGGGCCCCCGGAAGACGGCCGGGGUCCGAAAGGAUGCCACGAUGAUGGAUGGGCUGAGGGAGGCUCCAGGGCUGGCUUAAGAGCACACAGGAUGUUAGUGCUCGUGUGAGGCUCAUUUCUGAGCUGUUCCCAGCAACCCACCCCCACCUCCCCUCUCACCCUCCCCUCCCACAGCUUCUCCCACGGUCUCUGAAGCCGGAGCCCGGGCUCUGACCAGAACCACCCUCAUCUUGGUCCCACAGCUGAGCUGAGCAGGGACUGGCCAGCUCAGGAAGCAGUGGCCUGGGGGAUGAGAAGCAGAGGGAAGGAGGAGCUUGUGCGCAGAGAGAAAAUGCCAUUGUAAAGGCGGCAUCUCAGUGCUUUCUCACCCUUGUCUUCUUUACUCCCCAGAGUGUGCCUGGCAGUCAGGGGGCUGUGCCCACAGCACAGAUGUGGCUCCUGAGCGUCAUUCAGUCAGUGGUUCCACAGCUCUCCCUUCCUGAGCCCUGACUUUGCACCAGGCCCUGGGCGGGGCGGGGCAGGGCAGGGUGGUUAGGGACCCCAAGAUAAGCCUCGGCCCCCAUUGCUUAACGGAACAGUGUCCUCUGCACUGGGUGCUGGGCGCUGGGGCCUCCCUGGUCUUCCAGGGGCGUCACUACGGGAGGAUCCCUUUUCCGUGUGGUGCGCACAAGUAGUUGCAUGUUGCCACCAAGAGCACCCUUAGCAAUCCUCCCAUCAAGAGCCCAGAGCCCAGAGGAGUCAGAUAGCCCCAAGUUCAAAUCCAGCCUUGCUCCCUUUUUGCUAAAUAGCUGUGGUCCACUCAGCCUCUUCCAAGCCCGUUUUCCCUUCAGUGAAAGAGGGACAGCACGGCUGCCACGGAAAGGGGCUGGCUGGGAGGGUUAGUGAGGGUUUUCCACACCCUCAUCCGGCACAGAGAGGAACGGAGGCAGGUGCGGGGAAGGCGCGGCCAGGGUCACACCCUGAGCUGGAGGUGAAGCCAGGACCAGGUGGGUGGGUUCCUUUCUCUCCACCCCUUGUCCCAAUAAAACUCUCCCCACCUGGGCCACCCAUGCAGCCCAGAGGCCACAGGGGGCCAGGUCGUACAAGUGACUGUGGGGACACAUCCUGGGCUCCAACCCUCCACCCUCAGCCCUGCCCUGGCCCCUGCAGCCCCAGGGCCCCAGGUGACCAGCGGUGGCCCCCGGCCCUCGCUGGCGGGGAGGGUGGGGGAGCCAGCACAGGCUCCCAGCCCAGAGCAGCCUGGCCAUAUAAGGGAAGGAGCCAGGGAGGCCUCCUGGCUCCGGCAGGCGAGAAAACCCAGACGGCCACUGUUUAUUUUCUCCUUCCCAGCCUCCCUGGAGCUUCCAGACAGAAGACAGAGGUUCCCCCAGGCUGGGCGACGUUUCCUGAAGACUGUGGGGAGCACAGAGGAGAAAGGGGCUCAUCCUCUGGGAGCAGCCCCCCAGCCUGCCCACAGCUGACACCAGGUAAGAGGCUGAGGUCACCGAUUCAGCUGCCUCCUUUGACAGAAGGGGAAACAGAACCGCAGGGAGGAGAUGCACUUGUGACAAAGGACUGAGCCAGUUAGUGACAGAACCUGAGUUUUCCAAGUGGCCCCUGCCUCCUGACUAGGGCCCCAGAGCGAGAAGGAGCCUCUUGAGCCUCUUGUGGGACAAGCGAAACAGGAGAGCUACGAAGCUCCUUCUCAGCGAGGUCUCUUUUGGAGGAGACCAGGGGUCAGGGCCAGUGCUGUCUGCCUGCCAGGCAGGUACACAAGCCUCAAGGGAAGAGUUCCAGGGACUAGACAGCCAGGUCCUCCUAGCCCACCACAGCACCUCCUCCUGCAGGAAGCCCUCCUGGUUUCCCCCAGGGGCGGGAACCUCUAUGUCCUCUAAGCCCUUGGCGGUCCUUUCUCAGGCUCUCGAAUGCCACCCAGGUCUGCCCCCUGAUUGCCUUGCUGGGGGCAUUGUCCUUCCACUUCUGGCUGAGUGCACUCCUCCAGGGCAAGGAUCCCACCGAGUUUAUUCCCGUCUUGUCCUCUGCAUGUAGAAGGCAAACUCGGUUUGCAGAACGAACAGGUGCAAGGGUUAGACCCCAAACGCAAAGGAUCAGAAACUGGUCAAGGGAGAAGAUGCUGAGCUUAGAGUUUAAAAUGAGGGCCCUGGGGCUGGUUGUUCUGAGUUAGGAGUCCCAGCUCCCUGCCCCCGGAACACUCCCUUCCCACGGAGCCUUGGGGAUGCACAGGGAUCAGCACAACUAAAACCCUCAUUAAACAACUGUUCUCAGCGCAGCCGCACCAGAGUGCUUUUCCUAGAUACAAAGGAACAGAAGGGGCAGCCCUUAGCCACGGAGGAAAUGGAGGUGAACCCCUCCCCCGAGCAGAGGCUGUGCCUGCAGCCCUGUCCCUGCGUCAGAGUGACUCCGCAGGACCGUGGGACUACCCGUCCACUUCCUGUUCCUGCACCCAGGAGAGCUGCUACUCUCGCUGCGACGUUCUGAGUCCAGUGGGACCAGGGAUGUGCUGGAAAUAGCCCUCGGCACCGCCCCCCCUCAGCUCUGGCUGGGCUGGCUCCUCCCCUUCCCAGUCCUCCAUGCUGAGGCAAGGAGCUCACCUUGCCGGCCUGCCGCAUCUGCCGGCUGGCCGUUUUGCAGGUCGCAUGGCUGGGCAGGGCUCCCCAGGCUGCAGUCGCUCAGAUGCCCUUUUUUAAAAUUUUUGCCAGAUCUAUUUAAAUUUUAAGAUGAAUAUUGUUCAUACCUCACUGUCAAGAGUUCUGCAGAGGGAAACUGGAAAACAGGCCCUAAUUAGGAGAG